rnacentral:misc_RNA from 1 species
UUAAGUUCAGCGGGUAUCCCUACCUGAUCCGAGGUCAAUCGUGAUAAAAUUUGGGGUUCUGGCAGGACACCACCGGGACUCUGUCGCGAGAAGUAUUACUACGCGUAGAGCCAGAUGGCACCGCCACUGCUUUUAGGGGCUGCCCUGUGACGGGCAGGCCCCAACACCAAGCUGAGCUUGAGGGGUGAUAAUGACGCUCG